rnacentral:rRNA from 1 species
UACGAAGGGGGCUAGCGUUGCUCGGAAUCACUGGGCGUAAAGGGUGCGUAGGCGGGUCUUUAAGUCAGGGGUGAAAUCCUGGAGCUCAACUCCAGAACUGCCCUUGAUACUGAAGAUCUUGAGUUCGGGAGAGGUGAGUGGAACUGCGAGUGUAGAGGUGAAAUUCGUAGAUAUUCGCAAGAACACCAGUGGCGAAGGCGGCUCACUGGCCCGAUACUGACGCUGAUGCACGAAAGCGUGGGGAGCAAACAGG